rnacentral:lncRNA from 12 species
UGGUAACCUCAGCCCCCCCGUUUCAUGUGAUAAAACUUGCCUGGAUGUGAUAAAACUUGCCCGGAGUCAUCCAGCAACGAGGGGCUGAGGCAUAUCUCUGGGUCUGAGUCUCUACCCUCCCCGCCCAGGGGCUCUUCUGUGCACACCUCCCUCCGUGUCUUUCUACAGUCCCUUCCAACAUUACCUCUCUGGGAUUCGAGGCAGUUUGCCACGGCCAGGUUUUAUAGCCAUCUCCUUGGCUCGGCUGAGCCAAACAUCCCAAUGGCCAACAGCCCGCUUCUCCUCUCGCCCUCCCAUUCUGGGCACUCUCGAGCUCCCUAGAAAGGGUCAACUACCUCAGGAGUGGCCGGAAGAGAAGGCCAGAACCUCCAGGCAUUGCUGGCUGCAGGAACAGAGAGUACGGCCCACCCUCUGACGCAACUGGAGGUGGAGGUUGGACCCCGGCUCACACUGGAAUCCCACAGUUUGAUUUAUGGCGUUGGGCUGCAGAUCUAUUGUUCCAAUGUGUCUCAUCAGCGGAGGAAGAAAUCCAGGAUUCCAGAGGUCAAGCAACACAUCCAAGGUCAGCUGGCUACUGGAUGACUGAGCCGGGAUGCGGGUCCUUGUCUCUUAUGUCUCCACUCAAGCCAUUUCUGGCCUGCUGUGUUGCCUUCGCACUACGGCCUCUCUUCACUGGAACUUUCUGGAACCCAUCUCGUCACUCCCACUUCAGCUGUGUGUCAUGUUCCUCCUCAUCUUAGGUUGAGCUCAGGAGCCAGGAAUCGCAAGUUCUGCUGGUGGUCUCCACGAGGCCGGCUUCUGGGGCCUCAAGUCCUUGCCUAAGCCAGCCCUCACGUGGCCACGGCACAGACUGGAGAGGCCUUCCCUGUUUUAGAGAUGACACAUGGAGGCCAGAAAUGAUAGCAGCAACUAACCCAAGCACACAGAGAUUACAGUCGAUCAAAGACCAGAAAUUGUUACCUCUGCUGCAACAAUUGUGGCUGCAGGUUUGAGGAGAUGUUUGUCUUUUCCUGUGGGUCCUCAUGAGCAAAGAGGCAGAUGCCAGCUCUUUUGAAGAAGCACGUCCUAAAGCUCAGUAUUGUUUGAAUGGCAAGAAGAUUCUCUGAGAGGUAGUGAGCUCCCCGUGGCAGGAGAUGACCAAGUAGAGGCUGUGUACGCGCCUCCCCCCUACACCCCCCGCCCCCUGCCAAGGGAGUGUGGAGCAGGGAUCAGAUUGAAGAGAGCUCAGUGACUUCAGUGUCUACCCAAAGAACCCAGGCCCCCAAGGUCCAAGACUCUUGCCUUUGCUUCUGGGAGAGCUGGUGAGGAGGGAGGAGUGAGGAAGUAGCUUCAAAGAUGGAAAAAGCCUUCUGCCUAACGGGCUCUCAUUGUUGGCCAUGAACCCAAGAUUUUGUGAGACACUCUCGAAAUGUUGGUCUGGGCCUUGUCAUUUAACCUUAGCCCUCGAGGGGCCGUCUAAGUAGAUGAAAGGCCACAGCACUUAGAGGGUGUUACAGAACCUCCUUCUGGGGAAACAAGCCCAGGAAAUGAGUGGGGAUUGUCCCAAACACUCAUUUGAAAGUGAUGGGACAGAUGAAAUUGCAGGAAAUGGCCCAGCAUUCAAUUCUGGGCAGCAGCCUGGACAUCUUCACAGACCAGCUCCGCUAAGAGCGUCAGCAUCCAGGGGUCCUGGAAGGCUGGAGUCCAGGGAGGCUCCUUCCAGGAGGCGAAGCAGGUCUGGAUGCCUGUCCUGGCCUUUUG